AAAAGCUUUAGAUCAAACAGUAUAGUUGGUGACAUCAAGUCAACACAAGCUGCACCAACUGUCCCAGGCUGCGGGCAGCUCAGGGGAGGAGAGAGCCAAGCUGAGGACUUUGGAGGAGGCAGUGAAUCGGAGGAGACCCAGGAGAAAACAGCUCUCCCAGCUGAGAAAACAAUCUGCGUUUAAAAAGCACUGAGCAAGCACAAAUAUUUAGUGUGAUGGUGGAAGUGGAGAUAGGAGGAAGGGAAGGACUAAGUUGGAAGACUUUACUCUAGAUAAUGAAAAACAAAAGCAGUACCUGCUUUGCAAAGAAGACCAUAAGGGAUUUUUCUCCUUCUUGGAAGGAAAGUUUAAAGAAUAUUCCCACUUGGCUCAUCUAAGAUUCUGGGUGCAAAGGAGGAGUGCUACUCAUGGAGUCCCCCUUUGUAGUCUCCAACAAUAUUUGUUACAUAAUUUAGUGCCACAUUACUUACGUGGAUGGUAUAUGACUAGAGUUGUUGAUUCAUCUAAGUUGAGCAUUUUGAAAAGAUUCGAGAAAGGCAAAUCAUUUAAUAAAUGUUAUUAAAUGUGAGCACGACAACUAUAAAUGUCUACCAGGGUAACCAGACACUCAAGACUGGCUACAUGAUUUGCAGAGCUCAUUAUAAAGUGAAAAUGAGAGAGAAUUUGAAGACAGUGGCAACAAAGCAAUAAACCAAGUAA